rnacentral:rRNA from 1 species
UACGGAGGGUGCAAGCGUUAUCCGGAUUCACUGGGUUUAAAGGGUGCGUAGGUGGGAAUGUAAGUCAGUGGUGAAAUCUCCGUGCUUAACAUGGAAACUGCCAUUGAUACUAUGUUUCUUGAAUUUUCUGGAGGUAAGCGGAAUAUGUCAUGUAGCGGUGAAAUGCUUAGAUAUGACAUAGAACACCAAUUGCGAAGGCAGCUUGCUACAGGGAUAUUGACACUGAGGCACGAAAGCGUGGGGGAUCAAACAGG